rnacentral:tRNA from 3 species
UGGGGCGUCGCCAAGCGGUAAGGCAACGGUUUUUGGUACCGUCAUUCCCAGGUUCGAAUCCUGGCGCCCCAGCCA